GUGGUUUCUGAAGACAAAGAGGUUUUGUCUGGCAGGAAAACCAUUAGCACUGUCCAUGAGUCUCCAUUAUUUACAAGCUCUCUGAAAAAGAGAUACCAUUAUAGCACCUGCGAUUGCGAUGAGGAACACAUAUAAAAGCCAUGUGAAAUGUGUCAGUUUUUCCUUGGGCUUAUCAGCCUGAGUCAGUGUAUUCAGUGCAUGUUCUCCAAAGCGCCUCACAGAAUCUGCAGUGAUGGACAACUGUAUCUAACCAGACCUGGGAGCUGUGGGACCAGCUCAGUGGAGAAGUGUUUUAGGAGAGGUUAUACCACAUCUGAAAAUGACAGGGGAAUCAACGUGGGCACCUGCUGAGCUUAAGAAGGGGAGAAGCCAAUCUCACAAUCUCAGAGCAAGAGCUUCCUCAGAGACUAAACCUGCAUCAUACACCGUGGCAAUUAGGCUGAAAGCUCAAGUGCCACAUUUGCUCUUUUAGGAAAUAAAUCUUUGCUGAAGAAAUUACUUUUCUUAUCAAAGUGAAUGUCUGUAUAUAUUAUAUAAUUACAUUUACAUUAUUUGUUACUUUUAUCAUAUGCCAUAGAACAUACUGAAGGUGCAUAAAAGAGCAAGUACUACUGAAUUUGUAGAGUUUCUAAUGUUUUUUUCUUCAUCUUAGCAGAGUAAAACAAAAUCCCCAUUUUGUUUUGAUACGCCAGAAGAUAAUUAAUUUUAUGUCUAUUUACACUGUUUGCUUCCCAGUUUUCUAAUUCCACUUUCAUUAUUACACUGCCAUGUUGAGAGAAAAGUGCAUUUAUAUUCAUAAGCCUUUUCUAUGCAAAGGCCUUUAUCAAAGCUUUAUGAAUGUAACAGGUUGUAUUCAUAUUAAAGAUAUAUUGUAUGACAAGUAUAUUACAUUUACUUCCCUACAAAACCUCUAAGAGGCACUUCUUACGUUUCACUUCACCUUAACAAAAUCAACUUGAUUGGGGGCAAAAUCAGCUUAAUUCACAACAGCAUGGAAAUAUACACUACAAAUACUGGGACUACUUUAAAUACAGGGUUUAACAUUUUUGGGUGAAAAUGAUAAGUGUGGGGGCCGGUCUAUACAGUAAAUACCUGCUUAGAGUGAAUGUUAGAAAUAGUUCCCGUGCUGUUACACUAACCUGGGACUUGUGGAAAAGCCUUGUGUGAUUUCUGAACAGAAGACACAAGAGGGUUUUCUCUAUUAUUUUAACUGAGUUCAUCCUGCAUUUGAGCCAUGGUUGGAACACAGUUUUUUCAUCCGAAAGCUUCCUAGAGGUAAACAUAACAGACUCUCAUGUCUGGAGCACUAAGCUGGCCAGAGGUGUUCUCUGUUAUUAGCUGAUUCCCACAUGUGCUUUCACUUUAUCGUACAUAUACUGUAGCUGAUUGUUAAUGUUGAAGUAUUUCUUAUUGCUGCCAGAAAGAAAUCAGUGGCAUGGUAUCCUUCAUGAAUGAUGUUAAUUAUUUUUUCAAAAGUUCAGAAACACAAGGACAUAAGAAUAGUUACAAAUGAAAGGAGGCUGUCAAGCCAUAAUUUCUCUGUAGCUUGUUUGCUACUGUACUUAGUUGCCAAUUGAUCCAAUGAUCUUGUCCGGCUGUUUCUUGAAAGAAACGUCAACAUCAGCAUAAACAGCAGCCUAAGUAGCUUGUUCCACAUUUCCACAACCUUUUGGGCCAAAAUGGACAUUCUGUUCUUGGUUUUAAAUGCACAGAGAAUAUUGGCAUAAUCUAUGAGCAUCUUAUUUAUGAACAUCUUCUUUUUACAGGAUAAACAAUAUAUUAACACAAUCUAUCAUCUGUAAUUGGCACAUCAUUAACAUUA